GAUGAACGCUGGCGGCGUGCCUAAUACAUGCAAGUCGAGCGAACAGACGAGGAGCUUGCUCCUCUGACGUUAGCGGCGGACGGGUGAGUAACACGUGGAUAACCUACCUAUAAGACUGGGAUAACUUCGGGAAACCGGAGCUAAUACCGGAUAAUAUAUUGAACCGCAUGGUUCAAUAGUGAAAGACGGUUUUGCUGUCACUUAUAGAUGGAUCCGCGCCGCAUUAGCUAGUUGGUAAGGUAACGGCUUACCAAGGCAACGAUGCGUAGCCGACCUGAGAGGGUGAUCGGCCACACUGGAACUGAGACACGGUCCAGACUCCUACGGGAGGCAGCAGCAGGGAAUCUUCCGCAAUGGGCGAAAGCUUGACGGAGCAACGCCGCGUGAGUGAUGAAGGUCUUCGGGUCGUAAAACUCUGUUAUUAGGGAAGAACAAAUGUGUAAGUAACUAUGCACGUCUUGACGGUACCUAAUCAGAAAGCCACGGCUAACUACGUG
rnacentral:rRNA from 1 species